rnacentral:tRNA from 1 species
GGCUCCGUGGCUUAAUAAUUACGGCUUCUGCCUCACAAGCAGAAGGUUCAGGGAUCAAAUCCCGGCCGGUACCU